rnacentral:sRNA from 1 species
GAACCAGUUCAUGUCAGUGCAGUCCUGACUCGCCCGAUGUUAUUUGUGUCUGUCUCCUUGUUUCAAGAUCUCAGGUAACCAUUCAUGAGCCUGAGGCUGUGAGAAAUGCUCGCUGUGCAAAGGGGAACUCUCACCAGAUUUUCUGAAGCUGUUCUAGAAAUACACUUUUCGGAUUGAUUCAGCAUUACCAGCUUAUCCAACAAAAGUAUUAACAUAUACAUUAACAACGUCGAAAGUAGCCUACUUUAAGAGAAAAUAUGCAGAAGAAGAAGAUUUACAUCAAGAUUACCAUGGGUAUUUUCCAAAACACCUGAUAUUACCUGAGGACAGAACUUGCAUUCUCAAACUUUCUCUGGAGAAGCUCAGGUUUCUUGAAGACCCAGAAACCUACUUAAGAAGGUCUGUGUUAAUUAACAAUUUGCUGAGGAAGAUACAUCUAGAGACGGAGAAAGAGAGCUAUGAAUACUUUAAAGAAGCUCCCUGUUAUAAGACUGCAUAUUCUGAUACAAGAAAACGGCUGAAGUUUAUGGUACAGGAAUGCUGUUCUCAGUCUCUCUAUUAUGAAGAGCUGCAUUCGUAUCAUAUUGUGCCUUAUGCUUCGGAGAAUGCCAUUUAUGAAAUGGGCUACACUAGCAGCCACUUGGAGCAAAAUUCUCAGUUGCUUAUUUAUAAAAUGAAUUAAAGUAACUGUUAAGUCCAUUGAUACUUUGUUUCUAAAUGCUUGAACUGUUUAUAGUGAAGAUGUUAAUAUAAGGCACUCAUUACCAGUGCACUUGAUAUCAAAGAUGAGAUGCAUGCUGAACUGAUUGGAGAGAGCAAUGGUUAUUACUCAGCAGUCCUUAGAAUCAUCAAAUUGAAUAGAAAAUAUGUUCACAUAUGAUAAAGCGGUCAAUUAGUGCUUUAGAAGCAAAGAUUUUUUUUAAACAUAAGAUGUGUAGGAAGGGGCCUACAUUAAACAAUUAUACAGAUGAAAAAUUUUCUUUUAUGCCCUGAUUUCCAAAUUCUGCCACUCUUACUGGAAAGUAAUGAAAGUAACAGAUUAAAUUGAUAAUGCCAUGUCCCUGAGGAUGAAGGGUGGAAUACAUUUAAUUUUCUGUAAAUGAUUUGAGGAAGGGCUGGUUCUUUCUGAAGUGCUUUGGCUUGUCAAGCAUUGUGCCAAAUAAUUGUUUGACACCAUUCUCCUUUUACCAUUAGUAGCAAUUCGAGAUGGGGCAAAGACACUGCAACUAAACUGCUGAAUGUAACAACCAGAUUACUCCAAACUGAUCCAUUUUACUAUUUUGUGGGGAGGGCUUAGACUUUUCUCUUUAAAAGUGAAUUUUAACGAAAUAGCCUUGCAGAUGGGCUUAUCUAUAAGUUCUACAGGUUGGUUAAAAUUUGUGGUGGGCCUUUAGUUAGCAGUUUAUGUUUUAUUUAUUUUUUUAUAGGCUGUGAAGCUCAGGAAAAGGGUAGGCAGGUAAAAUUUGUUUUUAAUGAGUUGAUACUUUUUAGAAACCUUAUCUGCAAAAAUUAAUGAGAACAACAAAUUCCACAUGAUGUUAUUUCUUCAUCUAGCUAAGAGUACAUUUAAGGCUGCCUGGAUGAAACUUUGCACUGAUUUUUGUAUAAUAGUUGAUCAUUCACUAUUUGACAAAUUGUUUCAGAAUGCCUUUGGUGGUGAAGUUUAGAUAAGUCCCUAUGUUUUGCAAUUUUACAGGUAAUUAUUUAACAAGUUGGACAGAUUCAUGAAAUUGUUUGAAGUGGUUCAUACCGUUCUUUCAGGUUUGAGUGAGAUGUCUGAUUUCAGUGUCUGAAGUUUUGUCCUAUGGAGCAUAUCAUUUAAAGAAUUGUCAUUAACUGAUAAAACAGAUUGGAAAAACUAGGUGCCAAAGGUGUAUUUAAGAAAAUACCAAAGACUCAAAGAUGAGUGUUAGGAAGACUAUGAUAAUGAAGAUAAGAAUCUAAAGUAAGGAUUGCAUAGGACAUAGAAGAACAUUGUUAAAGGGGUUUGGAAUGAUUUGCUUACUAAUGUGCUUUCAGAACACUUUAUACAUAAUAAUGGUAAUCAAGGGCACUGCUUUAAAUGAAGAUACUACAGACCUUUAGGAAUCAUAUGCCUUGGAAAACAAUCUAUGUAUGGUGACUUGUCAACAAAGUAUCUUCCCUAGUUGGAUGCCAACUUGUAACCAAGAAGACUUUCUUCUAUUCAAGAGAAAUUUGGUUUUAGUUUUGAUUUAAUACUUGGUCCCUCUAAUUAAUCACUGGGGUGAUUAACAUGAAUUCUGUUGGUAUAAAGAGUAUUGGUUCCCUAAUUAGCCUGCCUUGUUGAAGACCACAUAGAUGUAUUACUGAUAAGACUAUGAGGCUUAUGUUUAAUUACUCAAUCAAAAUUAGGAAGAAAUGCUUUAGAAGAAACUAAGAAAUUAUAAUGUAGGUUAAUUUUUAAAGGCAAUUUAGUAUACAUGAUGAGCUAGCUUUGAAAUACAGAUUUAAAUGUUUAAAAAUUAAUUUGAGGGCAAGAUUUGGUACCAAAGUUUCAAAAAUUUUAUUUCACUGCUUAUAAAAUACUUUAUCAGAACACUUAUUUUAAAAAAUAACAUCUUAUUUGAAAAACUCCAAAUUUGAUGGGAUAGUUACACCAUCAUACAAUUUUAAAGGUAGAAUUAGCUUUCUAAUACUUUAAAAUAUUUUCUGAAAUGAACAUUUCACUUGGUUUAGGACCGUGUCUAUAAGUAAAAGACACCAAUGCUAAUAGAUAUGACUUACAAAAAUGCCACAUAUCGAAAUUGAUUGAGGAUUGAAAUAUAUAUACUUUGGCAUUGAGAAGAGAGGAAGAGAAAAAAAUAAAAAAAAGUGUGACAUUGUAAUAUUUAUUGUAUUUAAUAAAUCUUGAAGAAAGAACUCUUGAGCAAUGAACCAGUGACAGAUAUAAAAGCCUGUUUUAUUUGAUGACAUCAUUAACUGAGUUUUCUCAUCUAUACAUUCAUACAUCGAGAAGGAACUGUCUUAAAAACCAGUGUUUCUUUUUUUUUAAGUUCUAGUGUACAUGUGCAGAAUGUGCAGGUUUGUUACAUAGGUAUACACUUGCCAUGGUGGUUUGCUGCACCCAUCAACCUGUCAUCUACAUUAGGUAUUUCUCCUAAUGCUAUCCCUCCCCAGUGAUAUUUGUUAAUAUGCUUUUUUAAAAAAGUGUCUGCCUUGAAACAGGUAAUUAAAAAAUAUCUCCUAGGGCAUUUAAUUAUUUUUCCCAAUAAACAACUCAUAGAUAA